rnacentral:rRNA from 1 species
GGUGAACAUACCUAUAACUGUUUGCUUCGGCGGGCAGGGUCUCCGUGACCCUCCCGGCCUCCCGCCCCCGGGCGGGUCGGCGCCCGCCGGAGGAUAACCAAACUCUGAUUUAACGACGUUUCUUCUGAGUGGUACAAGCAAAUAAUCAAAACUUUUAACAACGGAUCUCUUGGUUCUGGCAUCGAUGAAGAACGCAGCGAAAUGCGAUAAGUAAUGUGAAUUGCAGAAUUCAGUGAAUCAUCGAAUCUUUGAACGCACAUUGCGCCCGCCAGCAUUCUGGCGGGCAUGCCUGUUCGAGCGUCAUUUCAACCCUCAAGCUCUGCUUGGUGUUGGGGCCCUACAGCUGAUGUAGGCCCUCAAAGGUAGUGGCGGACCCUCCCGGAGCCUCCUUUGCGUAGUAACUUUACGUCUCGCACUGGGAUCCGGAGGGACUCUUGCCGUAAAACCCCCAAUUUUCCAAAGGUUGACCUCGGAUCAGGUAGGAAUACCCGCUGAACUUAAGCAUAUCAAUAAGCGGAGG